UACGAGGGGGGCGAGCGUUGUUCGGAAUUAUUGGGCGUAAAGGGCGCGUAGGCGGUCGGAUAAGUCUUGUGUGAAAUCUUCGGGCUCAACUCGAAGUCUGCACAGGAAACUAUCUGGCUUGAGUGUGGGAGAGGUGAGUGGAAUUCCUGGUGUAGCGGUGAAAUGCGUAGAUAUCAGGAAGAACACCCGUGGCUAAGGCGGCUCUCUAGUACGGUACUGACGCUGAGACGCGAAAGCGUGGGGAGCGAACAGG
rnacentral:rRNA from 1 species